GUGAAUUAGCAUCCUUUCUACUGCAAUGAAGCUGAAGGUGUUUUCCUAUUUGGCAACGGUCGUUGCAUUAGCAUAUGCAGGCCCUAUUGGCGACGGGAAUGCUUCGUGUUCAAAUUCGUGCACUGGAUCACAUAAGUUUGGCUACCGCCCUGGGAUCGCUUAUGAGUUUGAAUACAAUAUUAAGACAUCUACGGGGGUGAAAGGGCC